UACGGGGGGAGCAAGCGUUGUUCGGAUUUACUGGGCGUAAAGGGCGCGUAGGCGGCCUCCGCAAGUCAGUUGUGAAAUCUCCGAGCUUAACUCGGAAAGGUCAACUGAUACUGUGCGGCUAGAGUGCGGAAGGGGCAACUGGAAUUCUUGGUGUAGCGGUGAAAUGCGCAGAUAUCAGGAGGAACACCGGUGGCGAAGGCGGGUCUCUGGGCCGAUACUGACACUGAGGCACGAAAGCGUGGGGAUCAAACAGG
rnacentral:rRNA from 1 species